UCCUGAGAGCUUGCCUGUAGCUUUUGGGCACCUCCUCCCAGCUCCCUGCCCUGUUUCUGCCCAGAGGAGGGUGUGGGAGGAUUGGAGAUGGGACUGCCAUCAUUAUGGAGGUGAGGAAGGAGUCACUAAGGUGAUGGAACUCCAGGUUUCCUUCUUCCCACAUAGGAAGGAUGAAGUGGAGCUGUUGCAGGAGGAGCUGGGCAGGAUGGAGAUGAGCUGCCUGCAAGGGACAGCAGUGCUGGGAGUGCCACCACCUUGAUGCCAUGUUCUUGCAGAGCCUUCGUGCCUGCAGCAGUCUACAGUGAUGCCAAAGGACCUUCUGAGGUCACCCAUCUCUGGUAGGUGAAGGACAACACUAAGCUUUCAGGUGAUGCUGGAGCCAGCCAUGGGCCCUGGAAAGCACUGGGAGCCCAAACCCUGCAGCCCAAGUCAGUCUCUGGCCAGUGAGAAGUCCUUGUUGUCCCCACGGUCCCCAUGCCAGGGGCUCACUAGGGCUGGGCAGCAAUGCCGGAACAAAGCCACCCCUGGGCAGGGCUUCUGCCACAUCCAUGCCGCCAGCUGAACCUCAUCCAGCAGCCUUACCAUGGACUCUUUCACUUCACAUUUGACCUUCUACCCCCUCCCAGAGGGGUUUUAAACCCUUUCUUUGGCUCUUCCAGAUGCUGGUGGAGAACACAUGGUGGUGCUCAGGACCCUAAGGGUGCCACUGAAUGUGGGCACGGGCUGCUGGGCAGAUGUUCCUUGUCCCACCACUUUUACUCUAUUUGUAUGUAUUUCAAUAAAUGCUCAAUUGACA